GACCGCGUAGCUCAGUUGGCAGAGCAUUGGGCUAGUAUUCCAAAGGCCGUAGGUUCGAUUCCCACCGUGGUCA